CCUACGGGUGGCAGCAGUGCGGAAUAUUGGUCAAUGGCCGAGAGUCUGAACCAGCCAAGUAGCGUGAAGGAUGACUGCCCUAUGGUUUGUAACCUUCUUUUAUAUGGGAAUAAAAUGUUCCACGUGUGGGAUUUUGUAUGUCCCAUAUUAAUAAGGAUCGGCUAACUCCGUGCCAGCAGCCGCGGUAAUACGGAGGAUCCGAGCGUUAGCCGGCUUUAUUGGGUUUAAAGGGAGCGUAGGUGGAUUGUUAAGUCAGUUGUGAAAGUGUGCGGCUCAAACGUAAAAUUGCAGUUGAAACUGGCAGUCGUGAGUACAGUAGAGGUGGGCGGAAUUCGGGGUGUAGCGGUGAAAUGCUUAGAUAUCACGAAGAACUCCGAUUGCGAAGGCAGCUCACUGGACUGCAACUGACACUGAGGCUCGAAAGUGUGGGUAUCAAACAGGAUUAGAUACCCCUGUAGUC
rnacentral:rRNA from 1 species